CGCGGUCUCCGCGGCUUCAGUCUGUGUUGUUGUUUACCGAUUUUGAUUAAGCUUUCUCCAAAUAUUCAAUGCAAUUUCCGUGAAGCAAGGAGUGUGGUAUAAACCGUCGAAGCUAGCGGUAAUUGUGGUUCCGCAUCAAUGAAUUGCCGGGCAAGGCAGCUACUUCAAUUCACAAAUUAGGCUUAGAUCAUUUGCCAGAAAACAACGGAGCUUCAUAGAAAUUAUACACCCAAGUGGAGAUGAGGCAUUUGACCGCGAUGAACAGUUGCUGGAGGAAUAAUUAUUGAUGAUACGAGAGAAGUGGACGGAACAGCUUUGCUACAAGGAGAGUAAUGGUGUUGGCGAUUGAAUAUUAGGUUGCGUUUUUGCAUAAUUUUAAGUUAAAUUUAAUUAUUAUUUAUUCUACACUAAUCUUAAUAUGCAAUCUGUUAAUCUGCAUUUAAAAAGUUUUAACACCAUGUAUUCCUGCAAAUAUACGAAAAUGGAAUGUAUUCAAUAAA